rnacentral:rRNA from 1 species
UACGGAGGGUGCAAACGUUAUUCGGAAUCACUGGGCUUAAAGGGUGCGUAGGCGGCUUGUUAAGUAGGGUGUGAAAUCCCCCGGCUCAACCGGGGAAUUGCGCCCUAAACUGGCGAGCUGGAGUGAGAUAGGGGUGUGUGGAACUUCCAGUGGAGCGGUGAAAUGUGUUGAUAUUGGAAGGAACGCCAGUGGCGAAAGCGACACACUGGGUCUCAACUGACGCUGAGGCACGAAAGCCAGGGGAGCAAACGGG